CAGCCGCCACGGGAAUACGAAGGGGGCUAGCGUUGCUCGGAAUCACUGGGCGUAAAGGGUGCGUAGGCGGGUUUUUAAGUCAGAGGUGAAAUCCUGGAGCUCAGCUCCAGAACUGCCUUUGAUACUGAAAGUCUUGAGUAUGGGAGAGGUGAGUGGAACUGCGAGUGUAGAGGUGAAAUUCGUAGAUAUUCGCAAGAACACCAGUGGCGAAGGCGGCUCACUGGCCCAUAACUGACGCUGAGGCACGAAAGCGUGGGGAGCAAACAGGAUUAGAUACCCGAGUAGUCCCUGUCUCUUAUAC
rnacentral:rRNA from 1 species